rnacentral:misc_RNA from 1 species
CUCCAACCCCUGUGACAUACCUAUCGUUGCUUCCGUGGAUCCGCCCCGGCGCCCUCGGGCCCGGAUCAGGCGCCCGCCGGACACCCCAAACUCUUGUAUUUCUUUAAUAUCUUCUGAGUAAACAAGCAAAUAAAUUAAAGAUUUAAAAAAAAGAUCUCUUGGUUCUGGCAUCGAUGAAGAACGCAGCCGGCAUCGAUGAAGAACGCAGCCGGCCAAUUACGGAGUGAGGGCCUCUGGGUCCCCCUCCCACCGCGCUUUAUUUUACUUGUUGGUUCGCGGGCCGCCGUUACUGGCGCCGGGGGCUCAGCUCCGGGC